rnacentral:misc_RNA from 1 species
UUUCCGUAGGUGAACCUGCGGAAGGAUCAUUAACAUGUAAUUCAGUCUCCUUGGCUGUGCUAUAUAUAUACCCACUCUGUGUACCUUCUCCUGUUGCUUCCGCUGGGUGUGUAAUUCGCCCGGCGGAAGGGUAAAAAGAACCUCUGAGUAUCGAUGAAAUCUCUGCCUGAACUGAAAAGAAUAAAAAAAGUUAAAACUUUCAGAAACGGAUCUCUUGGUUCUCGCAACGAUGAAGAACGCAGCAGGUCGGAAAACCACACUCCUGAACUCAAGUCACGC